AUUGAACGCUGGCGGCAGGCCUAACACAUGCAAGUCGAACGGUAACAGGAAGCAGCUUGCUGCUUUGCUGACGAGUGGCGGACGGGUGAGUAAUGUCUGGGAAACUGCCCGAUGGAGGGGGAUAACUACUGGAAACGGUAGAUAAUACCGCAUAACGUCGCAAGACCAAAGAGGGGGCCCUUAGGGCCUCUUGCCAUCGGAUGUGCCCAGAUGGGAUUAGCUAGUAGGUGGGGUAACGGCUCACCUAGGCGACGAUCCCUAGCUGGUCUGAGAGGAUGACCAGCCACGCUGGAACUGAGACACGGUCCAGACUCCUACGGGAGGCAGCAGUGGGGAAUAUUGCACAAUGGGCGCAAGCCUGAUGCAGCCAUGCCGCGUGUAUGAAGAAGGCCUUCGGGUUGUAAAGUACUUUCAGCGGGGAGGAAGGGAGUAAAGUUAAUACCUUUGCUCAUUGACGUUACCCGCAGAAGAAGCACCGGCUAACUCCGUG
rnacentral:rRNA from 1 species